rnacentral:rRNA from 1 species
UGGGCGGGAGCCUGAUCCAGCCAUGCCGCGUGCAGGAUGACGGCCCUAUGGGUUGUAAACUGCUUUUAUACGGGAAGAAAUGCGCCCACGUGUGGGCGUCUGACGGUACCGUAAGAAUAAGGACCGGCUAACUCCGUGCCAGCAGCCGCGGUAAUACGGAGGGUCCGAGCGUUAUCCGGAAUCAUUGGGUUUAAAGGGUCCGUAGGCGGGCCUGUAAGUCAGGGGUGAAAGUUUGUGGCUCAACCAUAAAAUUGCCUUUGAUACUGCAGGUCUUGAGUCAUGGUGGGGUCGCCGGAACAUGUGGUGUAGCGGUGAAAUGCAUAGAUAUCACAUAGAACACCGAUCGCGAAGGCAGGUGGCCAACCAUGUACUGACGCUGAUGGACGAAAGCGUGGGUAGCGAACGGGAUUAGAUACCCCGGUAGUCCACGCCGUAAACGAUGGAUACUAGCUGUGGGGACUUCGGUCUCCGUGGCCAAGCGAAAGUGAUAAGUAUCCCACCUGGGGAGUACGUUCGCAAGAAUGAAACUCAAAGGAAUUGACGGGGGCCCGCACAAGCGGUGGAGCAUGUGGUUUAAUUCGAUGAUACGCGAGGAACCUUACCAGGGCUUAAAUGCAGGCUGCAUGGGGUAGAGAUACCCCUUUCUUCGGACCGCCUGCAAGGUGCUGCAUGGUUGUCGUCAGCUCGUGCCGUGAGGUGUCAGGUUAAGUCCUAUAACGAGCGCAACCCCUACCGUUAGUUGCCAGCAUGUCAAGAUGGGGACUCUAACGGGACUGCCGGUGCAAACCGUGAGGAAGGUGGGGACGACGUCAAAUCAUCACGGCCCUUACGUCCUGGGCUACACACGUGCUACAAUGGCCGGUACAGAGGGAAGCCACCCCGCAAGGGGGCGCGGAUCUACAAAACCGGUCACAGUUCGGAUCGGGGUCUGCAACUCGACCCCGUGAAGCUGGAAUCGCUAGUAAUCGGAUAUCAGCCAUGAUCCGGUGAAUACGUUCCCGGGCCCUGUACACACCGCCCGUCAAGCCAUGGAAGCCGGGAGUGCCUGAAGUCCGUCACCGCAAGGAGCGGCCUAGGGCAAAAUCGGUAACUAGGGCUAAGUCGUAACAAGGUAGCCGUACCGGAAGGUGCGGCUGGAACACCUCCUUUCU